ensembl:lncRNA
CGCCAGGUACACCUCGUUGAUCGCCGCCUCGGGCAGCAGCUCACAGAUCCUCCCCACCGUCCAGGCCGUGGUGUCUCUGACCACCACGCUGGGGUCCUUCAUCAGCUCGAUCAGGGUGGGCAUCGCCUGGCGACGACCAGGCCCGGGGAGCAAUUAGGGGUCAGGUGUCUUGCUGAGGGACACUUCGACAUGGGGCAGCCGGGGCUCGAACCGGCGAACCCUCUCUACCCCGGCGCCACGUCGACCUGGAACCUCGACCUAAAUUAAUCAUUUAGGGGUCAUAAUUAAGGAAACCCUUGUGAGAUUCGUACGGAUCGAGUCGUAUUUUGCCUGGAAAACAUUCAACUGAAAGGAGUUCUCACCGCGAACAGAGCCGGGCCCAUGUAGGUCUCCAUGUACUGGUAGUACAGAGACAUGAUCUUCACCAGGUUCUGUAAGGCCGCCACACGCACCUGGACAGUGAACACAUCGUCAGGACACGCCCACAAACAACGUUUCAUCAGUCACCAUGGAGACGUUACUCACUCUGGUGUCGGGACACUGCGUCGCUUCACACACCACUUGCAUGAUGAAGUGUCUCUCCGUCUGAAACACAGGCAGGAAGUCCUUUCACAUUAAAACUAUAGGCACCGUCAAAAUAAAACAACUUCCUCCUUGG